UACGGAGGGUGCGAGCGUUAUUCGGAAUUAUUGGGCGUAAAGGGCGCGUAGGCGGCUGAACAAGUCAAAGGUGAAAUCCCUCGGCUCAACUGAGGAACUGCCUUUGAAACUGUCUGGCUUGAGGCCGGGAGGGGGUAGCGGAAUUCCCAAUGUAGCGGUGAAAUGCGUAGAUAUUGGGAGGAACACCAGUGGCGAAGGCGGCUACCUGGACCGGUUCUGACGCUGAGGCGCGAAAGCGUGGGUAGCAAACAGG
rnacentral:rRNA from 1 species